AAAAUAAAAACCAGCACAAAAUGACCAUUAAAAUGACACACCGCCAUCUUCAGCAGAAAUAAAUAAAGUUUAUUAUGUUCGUCCAAAGCGUCAGAUGCAGAAGAGCUUUUUAUAAACAGCCCUAAACGCCGGAGCGAAGGUCAAGACUGAGAUGGAAUGGUGGAAUGGAAUGGUGAAACAUUUACUGUAAACGCCACAGAUGCUAACGCCAUU